AUGGUGGAUACACAUUGGAAGGUGAUGGCUAUGACCUUUCGGUCGCAAGGUGAUGCAUACAUAUUCUAUAACAAUCACGCCAAAGAGAACGGGUUUAGCAUCAGAAAACAGAAGGUCAAACGAGGUGCUUCAGGAAUGAUACGGUACCGGAGAUUUCUUUGCUCCAAGGUAGGUAGAAGGCAGAGCAAGUUUAUAACCAUGGAGGGCCGCAAGCACAUGCUUAGACCGGAGACUCGUUGCGAUUGCGGUGCACAUAUGGUGGUGAAGCUGGACAGAGAACGUGGUGUUUGGUUCGUCGCGUCAUUCGUGGAUGAUCACAACCACGCGAUGGCUAGGCCAGACGAGGUUUGUUUUCUGUGGUCACACAGAUGGAUUGGAGAAGGCACGAGGGCAGAGAUAUUGGCGUUGGAAGCGGCCGGGAUAAGAAAGCAUAUAAUAUUGGACAACUUCAUCAGAUACGGUUCGUACGAUAAGUGCGGGCUUAUCAGGAGGGAUAUUUACAAUCUUUGUAGCAGAGAACAAAUGAAGCUCAUUGCAAAAGGUGACGCAGAGACAGUAGUUGGCAUUAUGAGGAGUGGGAAGGAGAAGGACCCUGAGUUUUUUUUUGAGUAUGUGCGUGACAAGGAAGGGCGACUGAAGAGUAUGUUUUGGUGUGAUGCACAGUCGCGGAGGGACUAUCAGGACUACGAAGAUGUAGCCGUGUUUGAUAGAACGUAUAAGAUGAACAUGUAUGGUAUGCCGUUCGUCCCCUUUGUUGGAGUUAACAACCACCGUUGCACCACAGUGUUUGGAUGUGCCAUCAUUGCUGACGAGACGGAAGGGACAUAUGUGUGGCUGUUGCAGACAUUUAUGAAGGAAACUAUGAGGUGA
rnacentral:rRNA from 1 species